CCUUGACAUACUAAGAACUUUCCAGAGAUGGAUUGGUGCCUUCGGGAACUUAGAUACAGGUGCUGCAUGGCUGUCGUCAGCUCGUGUCGUGAGAUGUUGGGUUAAGUCCCGNAACGAGCGCAACCCUUUUCCUAUUUGCCAGUGGGUCAUGCCGGGAACUUUAAGGAUACUGCCAGUGACAAACUGGAGGAAGGCGGGGACGACGUCAAGUCAUCAUGGCCCUUACGGCCAGGGCUACACACGUGCUACAAUGGUCGGUACAAAGGGUUGCUACCUCGCGAGAGGAUGCUAAUCUCAAAAAGCCGAUCGUAGUCCGGAUCGCAGUCUGCAACUCGACUGCGUGAAGUCGGAAUCGCUAGUAAUCGCGGAUCAGAAUGCCGCGGUGAAUACGUUCCCGGGCCUUGUACACACCGCCCGUCACACCAUGGGAGUUUGUUGCACCAGAAGUAGGUAGUCUAACCGCAAGGAGGACGCUUACCACGGUGUGGCCGAUGACUGGGGUGAAGUCGUAACAAGGUAGGCGUAGAUGA
rnacentral:rRNA from 1 species